GCUGUGAUGGCCGAGAGGUUAAGGCGUUGGAUUCGAAAUCCAAUGGGGUUCGAACCCUGCUCACAGCG